rnacentral:rRNA from 1 species
AUAGCGACUCUCGCCAACGGAUAUCUCGGCUCU